AUUGAACGCUGGCGGCAGGCCUAACACAUGCAAGUCGAGCGGGGUUUUCGGACCUAGCGGCGGACGGGUGAGUAAUGCGUAGGAAGCUGCCCGAUAGAGGGGGAUACCAGUUGGAAACGACUGUUAAUACCGCAUAAUGUCUACGGACCAAAGUGUGGGACCUUCGGGCCACAUGCUAUCGGAUGCGCCUACGUGGGAUUAGCUAGUUGGUGAGGUAAUGGCUCACCAAGGCGACGAUCUCUAGCUGGUUUGAGAGGAUGAUCAGCCACACUGGAACUGAGACACGGUCCAGACUCCUACGGGAGGCAGCAGUGGGGAAUAUUGGACGAUGGGCGCAAGCCUGAUCCAGCCAUGCCGCGUGUGUGAAGAAGGCCUUCGGGUUGUAAAGCACUUUCAGCGAGGAGGAAGGGAUGUAUGUAAAUAGCAUGCAUUUUUGACGUUACUCGCAGAAGAAGCACCGGCUAACUCUGUGCCAGCCGCCGCGGUAAGAC
rnacentral:rRNA from 1 species